rnacentral:snoRNA from 1 species
AGUCGAUGAUGAAUUUAUUUCAAGACGGGGCCGACUUGUGAAUGAUGCAUAACCGAAAAUGCUGAGACU